AGCGAACGCUGGCGGCAGGCCUAACACACGCAAGUCGAACGAAGUCUUCGGACUUAGUGGCGGACGGGUGAGUAACACGUGGGAACGUGCCUUUAGGUUCGGAAUAACUCAGGGAAACUUGUGCUAAUACCGAAUGUGCCCUUCGGGGGAAAGAUUUAUCGCCUUUAGAGCGGCCCGCGUCUGAUUAGCUAGUUGGUGAGGUAAAGGCUCACCAAGGCGACGAUCAGUAGCUGGUCUGAGAGGAUGAUCAGCCACAUUGGGACUGAGACACGGCCCAACCUCCUACGGGAGGUAGCAGUGGGGAAGCUUGCGCAAUGGGCGAAAGCCUGACGCAGCCAUGCCGCGUGGAUGAUGAAGGUCUUAGGAUUGGAAAAUUCUUUCACCGGGGACGAUAAUGACGGUACCCGGAGAAGAAGCCCCGGCUAACUUCGUGCCAGCCGCCGCAGUAACAC
rnacentral:rRNA from 1 species